UGUUGUGAAAUAAAUUUAAAUUAAAAAAAAAUUAUGCUAAUUGCAAAAAAAUACUUGAGUGCCUUAACUAAAAUGUCUACAUUUUUAAUAAAAACAACCAGAAAAAACUGGUCUGAAUUAGAUACACAACUUUACUUAUUAUUUGUUUUUCAAAUGAAAAUUUUUAAAACAACGGUUGUGCUUUUGAUACUUUUUUUGCUUGGCAACAUAUACUUAAUUUUUUUAGCUUGCGGCAACACUUGUCACUAAUUAUUAGAGCGUGAAUGAGAAUAGAACAAAUGAAUUAUGUGCGUACGUGUGUUUUGUUUUUGUGCCGUUUUUGCAUUUUCCUUAUAUUUUUGCAUUCGAAAGCGAACCGGAAGAAUAUUACCGUAGAUCAAUUUAUAUACCGUUUUUAGAUCCAAAAAAUACCAAAUCAAUGAACGAUUUUUAAAACAUCGAGAGCUGCUUUCCAAAAUUGAAAACAUUUUGUCAAAUAAAUGCAUAAACCUUGACGUUAUUGAGAUGCCGGAGACUGUUCGUAUUUUAGAAAAGCAGUGGUCCGCUGAUGUAGAAGAUCCCGAUGAUUUCGUUGCUGAAUUUAGAAUGUGGAAAAUGUUAAAAAUCUUUUCUUCAGAUUAUAUUUUCUAACUAAAAUUUUGAAUAUAUUUUCAGGAACUGGUUAAAUCAAACAAAGAGAUCCAAAACUUUUUUAGACGCGUUGAAUUGUUGCGAUGCAAAAAUUUUCAAAACAGUGCAUCGUUUUUUAAAGAUUGGAGCAACAAUUCCUAUAUCUGUCGCUUCAAGUGAACGCUCGUUUUCCUCACUUCGCAGGCUUAAAACAUAUUUAAGAAAUAAAACUGGAGAAGCACGCCUGGACGGAAUGGCUCUCUUGAAUAUCCAUAGAGAUAUAGACGUGACGGAGGAAGAGAUUUUAAAUGUUAUGGGCCAAAAUAAAAGAAGAUUAGACUUCAAUUUGUGAAUAAAAUAAUGAAACAUUGUCUUUUUACCUAAAACCCCCCCCAAAUUUUUUUCCUGCGUUCGCCACUGGUGAAUGUCCUGCAUUAUCAAGAAAACGGCUUCAGCAUUUGUGGGCAACACCUUACGUUAAUCUGGAAGAGAUUUCAUUGGUGAAGCCACCAGGCCUUUUGAAAUUCGCAACAAGCGCAGGCAUCCUAAAGGAUGAUUACUUCUCAUUAACUAAGUGACGGCACACCAUCUGGUAUCGCAAAGGACCAAAAAUGGUCUAUGUGUGGCUUUUUAGCAUACCAGAAUAACCUAACCUAACCUAACCUAUAUGAAUAUGAGGACCUCGGUGCUUCAAAUUUUCAAAAUCAAAAAGUAAGGAAGGGCUAAGUUCGUUUUUGACCGAACAUUUUAUACUCUCGCAAUUUAUUUAUUUAAUAUUAUAAAAUACACAUUUGUACCCACAUAUUCAUUAUAUAUAUGGUAUAAAGUCCAUUGAAAGUUGAAAACAAUAAUAUUAGGUUAGAAGCACCGAAGUCCUCAUGUUCGAUAUAUGGGGCCUUAAAGAUAUAUGGCCCAAUUUCGGCGGUUUCGAGAAGGACGAUGCCACACUAUAAAUGCAGUAUUUAUGCGAAGUUCUGUUCCGAUAUCUUCACCAGUAAAGUAAACUAUUCAGGUCGACUUCAAAGUUCCAGUAUAUAGGAAGUAGGCGUGGUUGUGAACCGAUUUGGCCUAUUUUCAGAACAUAUCAUUGGGUUGUAAGGAAAAUAUUACAAACCAAGUUUCAUUGAUAUUGGUCGAGUAAUUUCGGAAAUAUGGUUUUUGAUCCAUUUCAACAUGUGUAUACCAAUUUGAGUUCAGCCCUUCUGUAACAUCUUUGUAAUGAAAUUUAAGGUUUCUGGUGCUUUUCCUUAGUGAAUUAAAGCAUUUUUAGUAGUUUUAAAUAUAACCUUUGUAUGGGAGGUGGGCGUGGUUUUAAUCCGAUUUUAUCCAUUUUUGGAAUGUAUAAAGAAGAGCCUAAAAGAAGCGACGAGAUAUGUACAAAAACCUUAGUAGCGUGUGUAACUACGCCCACUUUCCAAACAAAAAUUACAUCCACAUAUGCCCCUUCAUAGUGGGAUCCUUCAUACCAAAUUUUACUUCAAUAGCUUUAUUUAUGGCUUAGUUAUAGCUCUUUAUAUGUUUUCGCUCUUUUAAUAGUGACACAACGAUAGUACAACAAUAGCGACUCCAGGCAGAGGACUCAUAGAAGCAGAUUAUAUUGCAUCAAUAUACACCAACAUUGCAAUAAUAACAACGUAAUGGAUGCUUAUGGUGAUAACAAUAUACAAAAUUCGAAACAACAAAGCGGAGAUAAAGUAUUACUUCCAUAUAGGAAGGUAGCUAUACUUGGUAUGGGUGCGGGGAAUCCUACCAGCAAUUCUUCAACACAUACCACGGCAAUCGCUCAUCAAAUUCAAACUAGAGUUCGCCGUAUGAUGGAAGAAGCACACGUAGUCCUUUGUGCCAGAAAGUAACAAAAAUCGUGCACCAGAAGUACAUACAAAAUAUACAACAACAACAGAACAAGGAUUAUGCCACUGGAGGCAGAUGGAUGUUUGCAAACUUCGGAAGAAAAACUUAAGCUUAAGCUGGAUACCACCUUAGACUUUUAAUAGUGACACAACGAUAGUACAACAAUAGCGACUCCAGGCAGAGGACUCAUAGAAGCAGAUUAUAUUGCAUCAAUAUACACCAACAUUGCAAUAAUAACAACGUAAUGGAUGCUUAUGGUGAUAACAAUAUACAAAAUUCGAAACAACAAAGCGGAGAUAAAGUAUUACUUCCAUAUAGGAAGGUAGCUAUACUUGGUAUGGGUGCGGGGAAUCCUACCAGCAGUUCUUCAACACAUACCACGGCAAUCGCUCAUCAAAUUCAAACUAGAGUUCGCCGUAUGAUGGAAGAAGCACACGUAGUCCUUUGUGCCAGAAAGUAACAAAAAUCGUGCACCAGAAGUACAUACAAAAUAUACAACAACAACAGUUGGUAUUAAUACUUCCCAUGCUUAUAAUAAACAAAUAAUGGUGGAUAAUCGGCAAAUAGUGUACCAUGUGUAUGUCUUCAACCAGCAAGUAAUCACUACUCAGACAACAACACGUGCAGCAGCAGCAACAUUUAAUACAUAUUCAAAUUCAGAAUUAAAGUCAAAAUCGCACAAUGCAACCGGCAAAUAACAAAGCAUCGGAUGAUAUAAAACAAAUAACAUCAGACUUUCGCUAAACAGUUUUCCUAUGGUUAUCUUGGGUCUACACAAUGGGUAGUUAACAUUGUAACAGAGCUCGAAAAAACAUUAUUGAGGCGCAGAAGUUGUUUAUCCUGCUUCUGAUUUGACUAUGAAAGAAUUAUUAAGCUGAACUUACAAUUUAUCAUUUUCAAUAUUAUGAUUGUUAAUUUAUAAAUUUUGAAUUCAUUUGUAUUGCACAACACAAAAAAUCAAUACUUAAAACUUUUGAGAAAUUGUAAAUUUUGUCAAUAUUUAAAUGAU